rnacentral:rRNA from 1 species
AGUGAACGCUGGCGGUAGGCCUAACACAUGCAAGUCGAACGGCAGCACAGUAAGAGCUUGCUCUUACGGGUGGCGAGUGGCGGACGGGUGAGGAAUACAUCGGAAUCUACUUUUUCGUGGGGGAUAACGUAGGGAAACUUACGCUAAUACCGCAUACGACCUACGGGUGAAAGCAGGGGAUCUUCGGACCUUGCGCGAUUGAAUGAGCCGAUGUCGGAUUAGCUAGUUGGCGGGGUAAAGGCCCACCAAGGCGACGAUCCGUAGCUGGUCUGAGAGGAUGAUCAGCCACACUGGAACUGAGACACGGUCCGGACUCCUACGGGAGGCAGCAGUGGGGAAUAUUGGACAAUGGGCGCAAGCCUGAUCCAGCCAUACCGCGUGGGUGAAGAAGGCCUUCGGGUUGUAAAGCCCUUUUGUUGGGAAAGAAAAGCAGCAGGUUAAUACCCCGCUGUUCUGACGGUACCCAAAGAAUAAGCACCGGCUAACUUCGU